GAGCAAAUCAACCAGCACAUUUAAGCAGCCUUUUUAACCCUGAGACUUUCCAAGAUUUCUUCUUCACACAGGAAGUUUCUUUAUAUUGUCAGAUUUAGCACUUUGCUCAUGUAAUGAGAUCAGAGCUAGGAUCACUGCUGCACAGUAGAAAGACUUCCUUAAGACAUUUGUCCUUGAAACUGCACCAAACUCUUGGAAGAACCCAGAACCUGGUUUUCAGCACCCAUUGUCAAGACGAGAAUGUGCAGUGCCUGAAGGUCUCUGAAAAGGAACACUUCUGUGAGUUGUGUAUAACAAUCUGUCCAACAUGCAACCUCAAAAAAAAAAAAAAAAAAGAAAGAAAAAAAAGAAAAAGAAAAACCCUGCUGAACUGCAAAGUGAAUUAUUCUCCCAGUCUUUCAUGUUGACAUUUUUACUUGUAGCUUGUGGCAUAAAGAGGUUUAUGUAGUUUUUGGUUAUACUACACAUGCUCAAUAUGGCAAGGAUGAUGUUUUCUGACUUAGAGUUCUAGGUUUUAUUCUCAGCACUUCUAGAGAAUCACUGUUCAAGCUUGGGCAAGUUUAUUUCCUGCCUUGUUUUCCCUGUUCCUAAAUUAAAAAUGAUUACUUCCUUUUAUGAUUCCUUCCAUUUAUGAUUUAUGGGCAUUGUGUAUUUUUGACUACUAUAGGCCUCAUGAGAGGUCCCCACAAGUAUAAACCAUUUUCUCUAAAGUGGCUAUAUGUAUUAUGUAUAUAUGAUGUGAAUGUGUACAUGUGGGUAUAUUGUGUAUUGUAAGUAUAUAUGUAUUCCAUGUUUAUCUAUGUUUAUGAUGCAUGAAUACUAUGGUGAAGCAUACAAAAUUAAAUGCUGUUACUUGGGUAAUUACUGCCAUGCUAUCGUAUUCCCUUUUAAAAGAGUAUUUAGUCCUCUCUAGCUGAAGAACAUUCAUUUAUGUAAGCUAAAUUGUAUCCUCAUAGACUAUUCAAGUACUCAUGUCAAACUGACUGUACAAUUUUGUCAAACAGGUUUUGGUCCUUAAUGUAUUAUUUCACUGGAGAUGAGCUAGAAUUGAAGGGUCUGAAUGUCACAUGUUGGCGUGAAAGGUGUAGAUGGCUUCCAGGGUAAUCCCUCUGUGUAGACUUUCUUAAGUUCUGGACUUGGUUUUUAGGCUCUUCUGCUCCUGCCAGAAGCAUGUUUUUAGCUGAGGAACAGCGAGGUUGAUUCAGAGGGGAUGCAGCACAUGAGCAGGAUAGUGCAGGAGGAUGUGAGCAACCCAGCACAAAGAUCAGGAAAUAGGCAUGAAAUCAGGGCUAGGAGCAGAUGCAUUUUUUUGGUAUUUUAUUUGUGCCCAAAUCCCCAAAGUCUC
rnacentral:lncRNA from 1 species